rnacentral:rRNA from 1 species
AGUGAACGCUGGCGAUAUGCCUAACACAUGCAAGUCGAACGGCAGCACAGUAAGAGCUUGCUCUUACGGGUGGCGAGUGGCGGACGGGUGAGGAAUACAUCGGAAUCUACUUUUUCGUGGGUGAUAACGUAGGGAAACUGACGCUAAUACCGCAUACGACCUACGGGUUAAAUCAGGAGAUCUUCGGACCUUGCGCGAUUCAAUUAGCCGAUGUCGGAUUAGCUAGUUGGCGGGGUAAAGGCCCACCAAGGCGACGCUCCGUAGCUGGCCGGAGAGGAUGAUCAGACACACUGGAACUGAGACACGGCCCAGACUCCUACGGGAGGAAGCAGUGGGGAACAUUGGAAAAGGGGCGCAAGCCUGAUGCAGCAAGACGGCGUGGGUGAAGAAGGCUUUCGGGUUGUAAAGCCCUUUUGUUGGGAAAGAAAAGCAGCUGGUUAACACCCCGCUGUUCUGACGGUACCCAAAGAAUAAGCACCGGCAAACAUCGG